GAUUGAUGGUAGCUAUAAAGGGUGCUGUGUUGAGGAGGAUUCAGAGGAAGGGAGUCUGAUGGUAGGCCCACCAUUUAUUUGAUACCCUGGGCUGGGAUGUCUCUAAUGGCCCUGGCUGCCCGAUGAACACACCCUGUGAUCUGAAUCAGCAGUUCUCCGAGCUCAGGCACACAGAGGACACGCAGCAGAGCUGGGGGCCACCACUUGGAGCCUCUGGCCACCACAAACACGAGAGAGCCUAGCCUCUCAGAGGAGAUAAGGCCCCUCCCAGGCAAGUGGGCCUCCGGUUGUGGGCUCCAGCCCUCUCCCUUCUGUUGGCCCCAGAUAAACAUUCUUUCCAGCUUGUUCCAGCCACUGCUUUUCCUCUGGAGCUGCUGCUCGCUUAUUCGGGCCAGAUCAGCACAAACCAGACCUCUGCAGAGCAUUAGGUCAAGCUGUUUCCUGCCUGCUGCUGGGAAGGGCUGAGGGUGUUCAGGCUGGAGAAGGAGGGGAGGAUGGCUGGGAGGCUGAAGUCCGGUCCCCGGCCUGCUUCUGUUUUUGCAACCAACUGUUCUACCCUUUGCCUUCAAUGCACGUUCCCCAAGAGGAUAUACUGGGUGCUGUUAAUUUUCCCACCAGGCCACAUCAAAGGCUGGUAAGUCAGCCUAAAGAUUGGUUCCUCACCCACAGGGCAAUCGGCUGCAACCAGGGAGGUGGGGGUCACAUGGCACCAACGUGACUGCUUCUGAGAAGGAGGCCAUGGGAGGGGCAGACAUGCUGAGGCUGGCUUGAACCAGGUGCAACCAGAAGGUUGUGCCAUCAACUGUUUCUUUCAUGCCUCAGCUCCCUUUAUAAACUGUAGAGCCCGGUUUGCUCUUAUGGGCUCCCCUCAACUCCAGGAAGGGCCUCUGAACUGACCCACAGUCAGGAUGUCCAUCUGGGGCAAACCCAGCGCUCCUUCCUUUCCAACCAUGGCAGGCGUUACCAACGAAUCCUGGUGCUCCACCCCCUUCGCUGCGCUGAGCAGAAUCAGACAGACUCAGAAUCGACAGUGCCCUCCAGG
rnacentral:lncRNA from 1 species